CAAAUUGAGGGUACCUACUUUGCCACAGAAGCGGCCCUGGCAAGGAGUUUCAACUGACAGAACUCAGCUAGCAAAAGAAGAUAAACAGAGAAGUAAGACUGCCUGUUGCUGGUGUCAUUGGCAAACCAAGAUCUUGCUGCUCAACUGUUACGUGCUCAACAGAACCUUUUAUGAACUAAGGUGUUUCUCUUUAAAGAUGGGUAUUUGCUAUAUGGAAGUGGAGAACACAUGCAUUUACCUGGCUACUCAGCCUGUACAGAAAGAGAUUACAGUGACUAAGAGCAGCAGGGCCUAAGGAACUGCUGAGGCAGUUAAUCAACAUGACUGCACUUUCCCAGAACACGGAGAAAACAUCCAAGUUUUGCUACAAUGGACUUUAAGAUCUUACAUACACCUCGGAGUCUGGAGCUAUGGCAUUCCUCCAAAAUAGUUCACAGUUUUUGCAGUUGAAACGUUACUGCAAAAUGGCACUAAAGUGCAUAAGUAAGUAUCUGAAUGUUUGCUGGGCUAAAAGGUGCUGUGCAAGCUUAAGUUACUGCUUUGCCAUUAUAUACAAG
rnacentral:lncRNA from 1 species